UGCGUAGGCGGCCCGGAAAGUUGGGUGUGAAAGCCCUCGGCUCAACUGAGGAAUUGCGCCCAAAACUACCGGGCUUGAGGAAGACAGAGGUAAGCGGAACUUAGGGUGGAGCGGUGAAAUGCGUUGAUAUCCUAAGGAACACCAGGAGCGAAAGCGGCUUACUGGGUCUUUUCUGACGCUGAGGCACGAAAGCUAGGGGAGCGAACGGGAUUAGAUACCCCGGUAGUCCUAGCCGUAAACGAUGAGCACUGGGUUGGAGGGUCUCCCAUAACCUUCUAGCCGUAGCGAAAGUGUUAAGUGCUCCGCCUGGGGAGUAUGGUCGCAAGGCUGAA
rnacentral:rRNA from 1 species